UGUCAUCUCUUCAGUUAGACUGGUGGUC
rnacentral:piRNA from 1 species